rnacentral:rRNA from 1 species
GAUGGACGCUAGCGGCAGGCUUAAUACAUGCAAGUCGAGGGGUAACAGGUCUGUAGCAAUACAGAUGCUGACGACCGGCAAACGGGUGCGGAACACGUACAGAACCUUCCUUCGAGUGGGAGAUAGCCCAGGGAAACUUGGAGUAAUAUCCCAUAGGAUCAUCGAGUGGCAUCACUUAGUGAUUAAAGAUUUAUCGCUUGAAGAUGGCUGUGCGGCUGAUUAGGUAGUUGGUGUAGGUAACGGGUCACCAAGCCUUCGAUCAGUAACUGGUGUGAGAGCACGACCAGUCACGCGGGCACUGAGACACGGGCCCGACUCCUACGGGAGGCAGCAGUAAGGAAUAUUGGGCAAUGGAGGCAACUCUGACCCAGCCAUGCCGCUUGGAGGAUGAAGGUCCUCUGGAUUGUAAACUUCUUUUAUUUGGGAAGAAAUGCCGAUUUUCUAAUUGGUUGGACGGUACCAGAUGAAUAAGCACCGGCUAACUCCGUGCCAGCAGCCGCCGUAAUAC